rnacentral:rRNA from 1 species
CUACGGGACGCAGCAGUGGGGAAUAUUGCGCAAUGGGCGCAAGCCUGAUGCAGCAACGCCGCGUGAGGGAUGAAGGCCUUCGGGUUGUAAACCUCUUUUAGCAGGGAAGAAGCGAAAGUGACGGUACCUGCAGAAAAAGCACCGGCUAACUACGUGCCAGCAGCCGCGGUAAUACGUAGGGUGCAAGCGUUGUCCGGAAUUAUUGGGCGGAAAGAGCUCGUAGGCGGUUUGUCACGUCUGCUGUGAAAAUCCAAGGCUCAACCUUGGACUUGCAGUGGGUACGGGCAGGCUAGAGUGCGGUAGGGGGGAUGGGAAUUCCUGGUGUAGCGGUGGAAUGCGCAGAUAUCAGGAGGAACACCAAUGGCGAAGGCACAUCUCUGGGCCGUAACUGACGCUGAGGAGCGAAAGCGUGGGGAGCGAACAGGAUUAGAUACCCCCGUAGUC